rnacentral:rRNA from 1 species
AUUGAACGCUGGCGGCAGGCCUAACACAUGCAAGUCGAACGAGUUGCGGACGGGUGAGUAAUGUCUGGGAAACUGUCUGAUGGAGGGGGAUCUCUACUGGAACCGGUAGCUAAUACCGCAUACCAUCAGCUGUGCCCAGAUGGGAUUAGCUAGUUGGGGGGGUAACGGCUCACCAAGGCGACGAUCCCUAGCUGGUCUGAGAGGAUGACCGGCCACACUGGAAAGGAGACACGGUCCAGACUCCGACAGGAGGCAGCAGUGGGGAAUAUUGCAAAGUGGGCGCAAGCCUGAUGCAGCCAUGGCGCGUGUAUGAAGAAGGCCUUCGGGUUGUAAAGUACUUUCAGAGGGGAGGCGUAACCCGCAGAAGAAGCACCGGCUAACUCCGUGCCAGCCGCCGCGGUAAUAC